ensembl:lncRNA LINC02428 long intergenic non-protein coding RNA 2428
ACUUCAUUAUUAUACCAGCAAUCCAGCCUGAAGGACUUAGCUCAUAGAUGUCUUCUGAAAUGUGGAAGAAAUACUUUCGUUUGUCAUAAAACCUCAGCAGGAGAUUGGAGUCUGGAAGAGGGAGGGGAGAAGAGGAGGACCUCAGGGAGAUUGUUUUGCUUAUUGGUGUUUAAUUAAAAACCAAACAACUUUUCCUAUUAACUUGAUGCUACUUAUUAAUUGAAAUGAGGAGACUGACUCUGGAUAUUGGGAAAAUUUAUGACCCUAGUAAUCACCAUUCCACUCUCUACUUCUAUGAGUUUGACUAAGAUUCCACAUGUGACCAUUAUUCUGAGUGUUUUAAAAGCAAUAUUUUUCUAUUGAAGAAAUGAAAAUAGCAGUCAUUCAAAAUCCUAUUGUGCUAUCUUUUGAUCAUCAUAAUAAGCAAACGCAAAUAAUUCUCCCUUGGUGAUCCAAUUAAAUGAUUUUAAAAUAUCAGUGUCAAAGCUGUUCCUUCUAAAAUUUAAGGCAAAUCUAAUAGAUUCUAAACAUAGAUUACAAACUCAAACGCCCUCAGGUGCCAGGCAGGAGAGAUUAGAGAGCCGCCUGUCAGAAUGGAGACGCUAGAUUUAGUUUAUCCCCAAUUUGUAAAAGACAGACGCUGGUUGUCUUUUCAGAAUGACAAGAAAUCAAUAGACAAUAUUAUCAAGUGGUCAGAAUCUUGAAAGAAGGCAGAAAUUUAGGUAUAUUUAUUUCUAAUUUCUAAAUGUUGACAAAGAUUUAAAAUUUUAAAAGUACCUUGUAUUUUAAAUUAACCCUGUUGGAAGUCCAGCGUCAGCUGUUGGACUGCUACUUUGCAAUUACGGCAAAGUGGGACAGCUACAACCAUCUUUCUGGUUGAGUGCACUAUCCUCUUUCCCUUUCCGAAUUCACUUAUUUAUUAAACUACAUUUGCUGCUCAAGUCUGGGCUUCCUGGAUGUAAAAAGUUCUCCGUGAUCUGGCAUCACUCUGCCAUCCUGCCUUCAACCCUGCUGCUCCCAUCAGAGUGGCUUCCUUGCAGUCAUCUGACAUAUUCAACAUUGUUUUGCCUUCACUGCUGAGCUCAUGAAGUUGGUCUAUGAAUGUGUCAUAUAGUAGAAAGAAACUGGAUUUGGACAAAAUUCUAUGCUGAUAAAAAGGAUGAUGAGGCCAAUGCUGUGGAUGUAUUUAUAUAUCUGCUGAAUCUGUCAUUUAGGAAUUAGUAAAUAGUUGCUGAAUCCUUUGUUUUAAAUAUCGCGUACUUGAAAACGAUAAAUAAUUUUUCAACCUUUGGUUCUUCAGAUUGAAAAAUUUCAGCUCACAGAAUCUUUCCCAAGAUAGAGAAUUUCUAAACCUGUAAUUAUUUUUGUAACUUGCCUGUAAACUCUCUUUACAUUUUUUAUUCUUUUUGUUUCAAGUCUACAAUAUUUCUCGUUGUUUAGAAUGAAGUUGAUAAUAUUUUAAUAUAAAGCAGAGUUUCUGCAUUCA